CGCGCAGGCGGCCUGAUCAGUCAGAUGUGAAAGCCCACGGCUUAACUGUGGAAGUGCAUUUGAAACUGUCAGGCUUGAGUACCAGAGGGGAAAGUGGAAUUCCCGGUGUAGAGGUGAAAUUCGUAGAUAUCGGGAGGAAUACCGGUGGCGAAGGCGACUUUCUGGCUGGAUACUGACGCUGAGGCGCGAAAGCGUGGGGAGCAAACAG
rnacentral:rRNA from 1 species